GACGAACGCUGGCGGCGUGCCUAAUACAUGCAAGUUGAGCGCUGAAGGUUGGUACUUGUACCGACUGGAUGAGCAGCGAACGGGUGAGUAACGCGUGGGGAAUCUGCCUUUGAGCGGGGGACAACAUUGGGAAACGAAUGCUAAUACCGCAUAAAAACUUUAAACACAAGAUUUAAGUUUGAAAGAUGCAAUUGCAUCACUCAAAGAUGAUCCCGCGUUGUAUUAGCUAGUUGGUGAGGGAAAGGCUCACCAAGGCGAUGAUACAUAGCCGACCUGAGAGGGUGGUCGGCCACCAUGGGACCGAGACACGGCCCCAGCUCCUACGGGAGGCAGCCGUAGGGGAUCUUCGGCCAUGGACGAAAGUCUGACCGAGCAAAGCCGCGUGAGUGAAGAAGGUUUUCGGAUCGUUAAACUCUGUUGGUAGAGAAGAACGUUGGUGAGAGUGGAACGCUCAUCAAGUGACGGUACCUACCCAGAAAGGGACGGCUAACUACGUG
rnacentral:rRNA from 1 species